AUGACCCAGGGCCCCGCCGGGCGCUCCUCGCCCCAGACAACCUGGGCAAGGCCCGGCCUGGGGCGCAGGGAGCGGCGGCAGGGAGUCCGGCGGGCGGGACAGGGGCGGGCCGCGCGUGUCCUUCGUCCACGCACCCGCCGCCCAUCUUCCGUCCACGCGCCCGCCCUCUGGCCACGCGCCCCCCACGUGUCGCUCGUCCUCGUCCUCGCGCCCGCCGCCCGUGCUCGUCCACGCGCCCAUCAUUCUUCCACGCGCCUGUCCUCUGUCCCCGCGCCCCCGCGUGUCCUUUGUCCCCGCGCUCGCCACGCGUCCUUCGUCCACGCGCCCAUCGUUCCUCUACGUGCCAGUCCUCCGUCCUCGCGCGCGCCCCGGGUCCUUGGUCCAGGCACGCGCGCGGGGAGCCGCGCCUCCCGCGUCCCAGAGACCCACGCGCCCUCCGGUGGCUCAGACAGGUACUGCGUCGGGGCGCACCACUUUCCCAGGCCGGCAGUGCCCGCCCUGCGGACUCCAGCUCCUGGGCAGGCCCUGAGCCUCCCGCCCCGCCGCCAGGGCCCCAGACGAGGCUGGGCCCCAGACGACGCUGACGUGGGUCGGGCCUCCUGCCGCUUCGGAAGCGUCCCCGCCCCGACGCAGUACCUGUCUGAGCCACCGGAGGGCGCGUGGGUCUCUGGGACGCGGGAGGCGCGGCUCCCCGCGCGCGUGCCUGGACCAAGGACCCGGGGCGCGCGCGAGGACGGAGGACUGGCACGUAGAGGAACGAUGGGCGCGUGGACGAAGGACGCGUGGCGAGCGCGGGGACAAAGGACACGCGGGGGGCGCGGGGACAGAGGACAGGCGCGUGGAAGAAUGAUGGGCGCGUGGACGAGCACGGGCGGCGGGCGCGAGGACGAGGACGAGCGACACGUGGGGGGCGCGUGGCCAGAGGGCGGGCGCGUGGACGGAAGAUGGGCGGCGGGUGCGUGGACGAAGGACACGCGCGGCCCGCCCCUGUCCCGCCCGCCGGACUCCCUGCCGCCGCUCCCUGCGCCCCAGGCCGGGCCUUGCCCAGGUUGUCUGGGGCGAGGAGCGCCCGGCGGGGCCCUGGGUCAUCCUGGUGGGGAGCGCGCCCGCACCCGCACCCGCACCCGCACCCGCACCCGCCCCGGCGCCCCGGCAGCUGCCUGGUAACCGGAUUUUGGACGUUCCCGAGACGCGUGGCCCUCGCUUUUCCCCGAGUGCGUGCCCGCUUUGCACGCAGCCUUCUUAUCCCGGGGCCGAGUGAGCGCGGGCUCGCUCAGGCGGCUUUGGGGAGAAGCCGCGGUGCAUGCAGUGAGGCUGCCCUGCGGGAGAGCGCAUGGAGGGACGGCCGGACCAUCUGGGCCCUCCCUGGUGGUCGUGCUGGAGGGUUGGGGCCCGUGUGGGGAGGGCUGCCAGCUCUGAGGCCCAGCACGGUCAGGGCACGUAUGUCCACAGCCCAAGCGGCCCGCUUCCUGGAUGCCUCGGAGCCGCGAGGAAGGCUCGGGGCUGAGGGCGGGCGACCGCGCACGCUCUCAAGGAAUGGGUGCUCGCGAGCAAUCCCCCUGCAGGAGCGCUUCCUCUGGGCCAGGCCGGCCUGCUGCCCGUGGCUUCCGUGCAGCUGCAUGCGCCGCCGCGGGAAACCUGGGGAAACUGAAGGUUCAAGGAGAGACCCUGGGCGUCCUUGCAGAUACCUUCCCCGAGGUGGGGGGAGGGGGGGCAGAGGCGCGGCGGCGGGCGGGGCCUGAGCGGCUCAGUUGCUUGAGCUUGGGAUCCUGGGGGUCAGCUCAGGCCCUCAACUCAGGGUCCUGAGGUCAGGAUCUCCCGCGCUUGUCAGUCUCUCCCUCCCUCUCCCUCUGCCACCCGCCCUCCCUCAAGGGAAGAAAUCAUUCCUUGUGCAAAAGAAACUUGCCCAGGGAUGGGGUGGGAACAGCGCUGUCUUCCAAGACUGGGCAGGAAGAGUCCUGAGUCGUUUUCUGUUUCAUGGCCUCCAGGGACGAGGCCGGGGACCCCAGGGCUGUGAGCAAAGAGAGGGAGAGCAUGUGGGGGGCGCGGGUGGGGGCCGGUACAGGUCUGGAGACCUGUGCUGACGUGCACGUGACCACCCCUGUGUCCACCAGCCUGGCCCCAGACGUUGCACUAAGAACCUUUGGAUGUUGCUACACGUGAGCAUUGCAAGGGCUAUCCACUCUAGCCCGGUCGCCAUAACCCUCUGGCAUAUUCUGUGUGACCUGGGACGCGUCAUUCAGUGCUCCUGAGCCACAAGCCUCAGGCCCCUCCUCUGGACUCCGGGCAUGAGCUUUGGGUGAGGGCUGGGGGACCCGGCCUAUGCAUACGCUGCCCCCACUUGUGCGUCGGCCCGCCUAUAUACAGAAACAGAAGACGGCCAACAGUAGAGUGGCAGUGGGGUUACAAGCCGCCAGAUGGAUAGGGCUUCGCUUAAGGGGUGGGGUCCUUAGCCUUAGGCCUGUGGAGUUUCAGAGCCGAGCUGUCCCAUAGGACUUCCUGAAAUUCUGUCUCUAGAGCACUUGAAAUGUGGCCAGUGGGAAUGAGAAACUGAAUCUUUCAGAUUAAUUCAACUGAAACUGCCACACGGGACGUGCACUAUCGUAUGGGGCAGCACAGUCAUAGAGGGCCCUUGGAUGUUCAUGGACAUUUUGUAAACCUUUGACAUGGGAUGUGUGUGUGUGUGUGUGUGUGUGUGUGUGUGUGUGUUGUGUAUUUCUGGGAAGUGAGUCCAUGGCUUUCAUCAGCUUCUACUAACUGCGGAAGAUGUCAGGACCUGCAACUUUAUGGCUUUGGCAGAAAGGAAGCAAGGUAAGGGAGGUGAGUGUGGCUUCUGGAAACCACUGGUGUUCCUUCUUUCUGCUUUUGCCUGUCCUCAGCUGUGGAUGGCUUCUCGGCAUUAACUCCUAUGAUUUUGACUUCUUCAUAGUUAGUUAGGACCCCUAGCCUCGAGGUCAAUGGUGUUAAACUGAAACUGUCAUACAAACUGUUUAAUUUUUUUAAAUAUUUCUUUUCUUUAUUCAGUAGAAGGAUGAAGCGACCAGUAACAGAUUGAGAGAAUUGAAAAAACCUACUGUUUCAUGUCUUUCCUUACUAUUACUCAGAAUACUCACACUUUCUGAAACCAGAUACGGUGUGGUUUUCCCCCUAGCAAGCAACCCCGUCUGGAACCAGCUGAGUAUCCUACAAUUUCACUCAAUUCUACAGCAUCCACCCAGAGAUGGCAUUAUAUCUCAUGGGUUGAGGGCUAAUACCUGUAAGACUGCUCCAGUCCCAUUUCAGAUACUAAUAGCAAGUCCAGCAAAUCACCUGUGCUUCUGACCAUUGGUUUAUCAAUUGGGGAUGCCAGAGACCCCUCCCCCUGGGUUUGACUAAUGUGCUAGAGUGGCUCAUAGAGCAUAGGACCAGGUCUGGGAGAGUCGUGAGCACAGGGGCUUCCGUCCCCGUAGAGUUGGGAUGUGUCACCCCCUCAGUAUGCGGAUAUGCUCACCAACCUGGAAGCUUCCCUAACCUGCUACUAUUCGGGUUUUAAGGCGGCUUCAUCACAUAUGCAUGAUCAAUCAGUAACUCCAUUUCCAUCUCUUCUCCCUUCUCUUGAUGGAGGUGGAGCUGAAAAUACCAAGCUUCUAAUCUUGGAUUGGUCUUUCUGGACCAGCCCAGAUCCAGGAGCAGAUCCAGAGUCCUCUCAUGAGAAUCAAAGAUAUUUCUAGUGCUCAGGAACUUCCAGAGCCCUGUGUCAGGGACUGGAGACAAAGACCAAGUAUGUAUUUCUUAUUAUAAAUCACAAUAUCAGAAAAAGAGAGAGAGAUUCAUCAUAAGGAAUUGGCUUACAUGAUCAUAGAGGUUUGUAAGUCCCAAGAUCUGUGAGUUGGCAAGGUGGAGACCCAGAAGUGCUGACGGUUUAAUUCUAGUGCAUGUACAAAUGCCUGAGAAGAGGGGAGCCAAGGAUAGAGUUCUUGUCCAAAGACCAGCCGGCUUGAGGCACAGGAAGAGCAGCUCUUCCAAUUUGAGUCUGAAGGUGGGAUAAAAGCCAAUAUCCCAGCUCAAAAACCAUUAGGUAGGUAUUUUUUAUUGGUGUUCAAUUUUCCAACAUAUAGAAUAACACCCAGUGCUCAUCCCGUCAAGUGCCCACCUCAGUGCCCGCCACCCAGUCACCCCCACCCCCUGCCCACCUCCCCUUCCACCACCCCUAGUUCGUUUCCCAGAGUUAGGAGUCUUUCAUGUUCUGUCUUCCUUUCUGAUAUUUCCCACUCAUUUUUCUCCUUUCCCCUUUAUUCCCUUUCACUAUUUUUUUUAUAUUUGGGUCCAAGAUUAUAGCACCCAAACCAAUCAACCAACCUGAGCUCAGCUUCUUGUUCUAAGAUGCCACAUCCAGGGGCACCUGGGUUAAGCGUCUGACUCUUGGUUUUAGCUCACAUCAUGAUGUCAUGGUCGUGAGAUCAAGCCCCACAUCCAGCUCCAUGCUCAGUGGGGAGUCUGCUUGGGAUUUUCUCUCUCUCCCCCUCCACCCCUCUCUAAAAUAAUACUAUAAAUGGCAUAUCUACUCAAAAACUUGACACUGAAGCUCUGCUCUCUAUAAUUUGGUCCCUGUCCACUUGUCAUCUGCUCAUGAAAUAAGCAGUUCACGAGCACCUGCUCAAUACCAGAUAGCAUUCUAGAUUCUGGAGGCUCCGGAGUGAUGUGACAAAAAGCUAAUAGGGACUAGCUCAUAGGUCUUGGAAUUGACAGGUACAGAAAGCAGAGUGGGUGGAGGGAUGGAAGUUGGAGUGGAACAGCUGGGACAGAAGGUGUAAGAAACAGAAUUUGUAACCAGCUACCACCCCAGUGGCUGCUGGCUUAACAGAGCAGAAAAUUUACCAUGGGUGGGCCCCCAGAAUGAGUAUGGGGACAAGGGAGAGAGGCAGCACAGAGCCUGGGGUUCACAGCAGCCCCAGAAUUAAAGAAAAGAUAGCUGCACCCAGGGAGAAAGUGCACUAAGAAUAAAGUUCACCUUGGGACGGCUGGGUGCCUCAGUGGUUAAGCAUCUACCUUCAGCUCAGGGCGUGAUCCUGGAGUCCCAGGAUCGAGUUGCGCAUCGGGCGCCCUGCAUGAAGCGUGCUUCUCCUUCUGCUUGUGCUUCUGCCUCUCUAACUCUGUGUCUCUCGUGAAUAAAUAAAUAAAAUCUUUUUAAAAAAGAAUAAAUUUCAUCUUGUAUCAACAAUGUUGGUGUUGGGAGGAUGACCUGGCUGGCUUUUCUGCUCAUUACCCAAAGGGAAGCCUUCUUCCUGGGGGUUCCAUUUACUUAUACAGAGAUGCAGUCAAAUGGUCCCUUCAAGGAAGAUGAUCUUGGGGUAAAUGGUUCUAUUCAAAGGCCCAGCUGUAUCUCCUAUUCAUCAAACUCCCCCAGUCAUAAAUAUAAAUGGGAAACCAAGGAACACCAAGUAUUUGAAGGAAACUGCAACAAGAGAAGUCUAAGAUGAACAAAGUAAUAUCUUGAAGGAAAAAAAAAUAAAUAGCUUGAAGGAAACAGAUCAAAGGCCACAAAGGAUCAAAAUUAUCUUUAUAAUGAUCCCUGGGAUGCCUGGGUGGCUCAGCGAUUGAGCACCUGCCUUCGGCUCCAGUCGUGAUCCUGCAGUCCCGGGAUCAAGUCCCACAUCAGGCUCCCUUCAUGGAGCCUGCCUUUCCCUUUUCCUUCUGUCUUUGCCUGUCUCACUCUGUGUCUCUCAUGAAUAAAUAAAA
rnacentral:lncRNA from 1 species